rnacentral:tRNA from 1 species
GCCCGAGUGAUGUAGCUUGGAUAUCAUAGAAGCCUGCGGAGCUUCCUACCCGGGUUCAAAUCCCGGCUCGGGCG